GAUGAAGAACGUAGCGAAAUGCGAAGAGUAGUGUGAAUUGCAGAAUUCAGUGAAUCAUCGAAUCUUUGAACGCACAUUGCGCCCCCUGGUAUUCCGGGGGGCAUGCCUGUCCGAGCGUCAUUACAACCCUCAAGCUCAGCUUGGUGUUGGGCCCCGCCGCCCCGGCGGGCCCUAAAGUCAGUGGCGGUGCCGUCCGGCUCCGAGCGUAGUAAUUCUUCUCGCUCUGGAGGUCCGGUCGUGUGCUCGCCAGCAACCCCCAAUUUUUUUCAGGUUGACCUCGGAUCAGGUAGGGAUACCCGCUGAACUUAAGCAUAUCAAUAAGCGGAGGA
rnacentral:misc_RNA from 1 species